AGUUAUGCAGGUGAGUCGGGGCAGGUGAAGCCCCGCGGGCUGGGCGGUAGGAGGUGGAGGAGCGCUGAGGUGCCCCAGAGCCGGCCGGCACCACGGCGCGCGUCCCCGACCGAGCGCGGAGCCUCCAGGUGAACGGAGGGGACGGCGACCUCGCGGGCAGCAGCGUGUUUCCUUCGUUCACGAAACCCGCGACGGCUCGCUGCGCUCCUUCGCGUAACAACCCUGCGGGUCCGGAGCGGCGCGUUUGGGUACGCUCGCCCUGCAAAAAACCGCCUGGGCCCCGCCAAGGAGCGGGUAGGUAAAGCAGAGGGCAGUUGGCAGGAGGGGAGCAGAAGCGCGAGGUGAUAGAGGACGCGCUGGUCGUGGCUGCAGCGCGGGAGGGAGGAGAGACGGCGCUGCGGCACGUCCACGUACCCCGAACAAGCCGUAUUCAAAGCAUCUCCGUGGCUGCUAGUCAUUAAAGCGUCAUUAAAAGCUUACCCGUUGCAGCGUCUCAACUGGGUCUUGAAGCAGAAGCAGUCCCUGCGGGGCGAGAAGGUGCUGAGCGUCUCUCAUGGGUGAGGGAGAAGAGGUGUCCUCCACUCGUUUUCAGGGACGGAGACCAAUAAAAUCUGGCCGUACGUUUACGCUCUGCUCUGCAACAAGAUCCCGCCGGUUCACACCGAAGAGGAGGAUUAAACUUUUUGUGCAAGGGACCAAGAAUUAAUGCAACCGUGUAUUUGGUGUCUCGGCGCAGCGCUGGGGCUGUGCUCAAAUCGUGCACUAUCUAGAGUAACUUCCCUGGGUGUACGGGAUAACAGCUGUGGAAACACAGUUAUAGCCGGUAUCAGGAUGAAAAGACCUUAAAAGGUCAAGUACUCUGGAAUGAGUGUUUUUCGUUUCCAGGCUAUAAAGUAUUUCUGCAUGUGAUCCAAGUACACUGAUCAAUGAGGCAAACCUAGAUAAUGAUUAUAUCAGGUUUACAUAGCGUGUCGUGAUUUCCCCACCGCCGCCGCAUAAAACCCCGGUCUCCCUUUGAGUCCGUCAUGUGCCAUUCCAUUGCUCCACAGUAGAGUUUACCGCAGAUUGCGCUAUACGAUCUGUUUUUUUAAAUUAUUUUCUAUUAAAUUUUUCUAUUAAAUUUC